AGAAGAUUCAAAUGGUGACUGUAUCCCAGGCUCAUCUCUUGUAACAAAUCCAAUGCAAAUGCAAUGGAGCAAAAGCAGAGGUCAAGCCUGUUUCCUGAUCUUGCAUAGCUUUCCAGUCUGCAGCCAUUCUUGUCCAUACAAGGCCACAGAGCAGUACAAGCACAUUAAAGUCAGUUCCUUUGAAAGAAGGCAUUGGAUGAUAAGUUUACAUAUACCACUGGACCACCAGAAAGACAAAGAAAUGGGUUCUGGAUCAAAACAGAUAUGAAAACUCACUAGAAGCUUAAAUAGAUAAACCAAUGAAGGUAAUGGUAAAGGUAUUCUGCUGGACCAGGAUGCCAAGAGAGACCUCAUUCAAGAAGACUUGACCAUCCCAAAGGCAUGGAAGAAAGAAUACACUGUACCUUACCCUAUAGUGAACCCUAUAGUAAGACUGCAGGCAAAAGGCUCAUUGAGAAGAUGCCACACUGCAGCAUCUUCCUUCACAAUG